rnacentral:rRNA from 1 species
AGUUCAGAUUGCAGGCUGCAACUCGCCUGCAUGAAGUUGGAAUUGCUAGUAAUCGCAGAUCAGAAUGCUGCGGUGAAUGCGUUCCCGGGUCUUGUACACACCGCCCGUCACACCACGGAAGUUGGGGGCGCCCGAAGCCACUUAGCUAACCCUUUUGGGAAGCGAGUGUCGAAGGUGAAAUCAAUAACUGGGGUGAAGUCGUAACAAGGUACC